rnacentral:rRNA from 1 species
AUGCCAAAAAUAAAGAACCUGUCUGAUGCAUGUAAAGUAUCAUUUUCUCCAGAUGGACCUAUAUCUGAAGAAACACUCGAGAGAGUUCGUGCACUGUUAGAUGAGAUCAGACCUUUAGAUCUUGGUUUAGAUAACGAAGCACAAAUUGCACGUACUUGGAAUAGUUCUACGCGUCAACAGAAUGGGAGGCGAGGACGCGGUGGGCCUAAUCAGUACGCGCCCACAAUCAAAUAUCUGCACAUUCAUGAAUGCGAAAGUUUCUCUAUGGGUAUAUUUUGUAUGCCACCGUCAUCAGUUAUUCCACUUCACAAUCAUCCAGGAAUGACUGUGCUGAGCAAGCUUCUUUAUGGCAAGCUGCACGCCGAAUCGUAUGAUUGGAUUGAUGUAGCUGAUCCAACUGACCCGUUAAAGCCAAGACCAGCAAGGUGUGUGAGAGACCGUGAAAUGACUGCGCCAGAGACAACCAUUCUUUAUCCUGAUAGGGGUGGUAACAUCCACACUUUCAGAGCCAUCACACCUUGUGCGCUCUUUGACGUCCUUUCUCCACCAUAUUCUGCUGAGAAUGGGAGAGACUGUUCAUACUUCCAGAAGUCUUCAGUCAAGGAGCCAUCUGUUGUUUUGCCGAGUGAAAUAGAUAGCUCAGAGGUAGUCUGGUUGGAGGAAUUGGAGGACCAUCAGCCUCCGGAGGGCUUUGUUGUUGCUAGAGGUUUGUAUAAAGGCCCUGUGAUAAGGAGAUAG